rnacentral:rRNA from 1 species
UACAGAGGGGGCAAGCGUUGUUCGGAAUUACUGGGCGUAAAGGGCGCGUAGGUGGCCUGCUAAGUCGAACGUGAAAUCCCUGGGCUCAACCCAGGAACUGCGUCCGAUACUGGUUGGCUUGAAUCCGGGAGAGGGAUGUGGAAUUCCAGGUGUAGCGGUGAAAUGCGUAGAUAUCGGAAGGAACAUCAGUGGCUAAAGCUACUUCCUGGACCAGUACCGACGUUCAGGCACGAAAGCGUGGGGAGCAAACAGG